rnacentral:rRNA from 1 species
UACGUAGGGUGCAAGCGUUAAUCGGAAUUACUGGGCGUAAAGCGAGCGCAGGCGGUUAUUUAAGUCAGGGGUGAAAGCCCCGAGCUCAACUUGGGACGUGCAUUUGAAACUGGAUAACUAGAGUGUGUCAGAGGGGGGGAGAAUUCCACGUGUAGCAGUGAAAUGCGUAGAGAUGUGGAGGAAUACCGAUGGCGAAGGCAGCCCCCUGGGAUAACACUGACGCUCAUGCUCGAAAGCGUGGGUAGCAAACAGG